UUUACUAGUGGAGACCUGUCUGUGAUGGAUCACCGAGCAAACAAAUAGUCAAAGAAAGAUAGGGGAAAAGACCUUGCAUUGUGUCUCAGUGUCUUUUUUUUUCUCAGCGUUACGUAUGAUAACUUAGCAGGAACUUAUUGCUAACUGGAUGGUAAAUGGACUCAGGAACGAAGUGGGUGAUGCAGGAAUGCACUCUUUGGAAGGAACAGAAGAGGAGGCAUUUCAAAGAUCCUGCAGGUGACUGAGAUGCCUGUAGAUUUCCCAACCCCGCUUUUCUACACUUUAUACCCCAGCCCCUACCCCUGAAGGCUCUGCUUGCUGGCUCUCAUCCUCCCAGCAAAAAAUUCUUGAUCUACACACCAUUUGGAAAUAGUUGGCUGUGAAGAGUCCUGGAGACUGAUUCGACCACCUUCUCUUCAGUGAAACUAGUUGCAGGAGAGCCAGACAUGAUGGAGGAGAAUGAAGGACGUUUCAUGGAGAUACAAUGCAAUGUUCAAUGUCACAGAAUUUAGGCAUGCUUCCUGCACUCUUUGGUCCCAUUGUGCUAUGGAAUACAUGUGGCCCGGAUUUACACAGUAGCAGCAUUUGGAAACCCUUCACCUCAGUGCAAAUACAGUUACCGACUAGACUUGAGGAUGGGACUGUAAUAAUACAAUACAACACUGGAAUACAUGGUGUUGUGUAACUGGCUGUAGUAGAGUUUCUUUAUUCUGGAAGAUGUUGCUGUCUAAAAUCUAGAGCUGUAAACAGGCUCACUGUGCUGGGUUGGGGGAAACGCUGUGGGGAAUGAAAGUCCAAGUUGUAAAUUGCCAAGAUCUGCACAAGUGGGUUCUCUCCCUUCGUACAAUAGCUUGUCAAUGAUCAGCACUACAACUACUUUCCUCACACACACACCCCCAACACACACAUCCAAACUUAAACAAUGAGACUGUUUGGAGCUGCAAUUGUUGCUGGAAAUGAUAUUAAACAACAAGAACAUACCCUGCAAACAUCUGAGCCUCUCCAAGCAGUUUUUCCAGGGGUAACUUAACUUAAGUUUAUCAUAUAACCUUCCCUUUUCUUGCCUCCUAACAUGUGAAGCCCUAUAGGCCAGAACCUGGGUUCUGAUAGAUCUGCAAAGCAUGAAGGUAUUUGUGUGUGUGUGUGUACAGAACAGUGGCUUAAAGUUCACCUUUGUUUCCACACUCAUAUUGCACCUCUGUGCUGAGCCAGUCUCCCUGCACUGAGUUAGAACAGCUCUUAGGUUGCUCUAAUUUACAUCACUGAAAAAAGACCCACGGGUCCAAAUACAGUGUGGCAUAGCUGCAUCCCAGUUGUGCCCACUUUCCUCUAGACACUUCUCCUUUCUCCUGCUCUGGUUGGCAGCAGGGAGGUAGAAUGCUGUAAGUGCCCUUUGCCAGCUCUGUGCCCUUAGAGAAUCCCCCCUUAUGCUGAGCUGGUUAUACUAACCUUAAGGCGAGUUUGCCCUAGUAACAUAGUGGAAAUGGUUGUGCCGCACCAGAAGAUCUGGCCCUAAACUUCCAUUCAUCGGUGGGGGCAGGAUGGCUUAAGCAGCUUGCCUUCUGUUUUUUACAGAAAUAUUUAUUUCAAUCAACUGCGACUUGAAUAAAAUCACUGACAUACAAGCGAGAGCUGCUUGCCACUGUGGCCCACUUCCAAAGAACACACUUCUGGAUCAUGGGCAAUCCUUGUACAUUGUAAAGAUUAUUAGUCACUCAAAACAGCCCUUUCAGAUAGAGCAACAAAAAGAGAUCGUUCUUGACAUUUAUUUAAGAGGAAGGUGACUGUUUUUUUACAGCAGUAAAACACUUACACAAGUGGUAGACAGCAGUAGUAAAUCAGUAUUUUUUAUGCUAGAACAUAAAGUUGGGAGAUGCUGGCCAGUAUCUUGGAAUGGUAACAAAGACCCUCCCAUGUUCCAAGGUAUCAGGAUCUGUGAGGGGGCUGAUACAAAGUUUUGCAAUACUUGUACUUAUUGCCUCUUGAACUCUGGUUGAAUAAAAGAUAAGCAAAAACAGCACAACUCUGGUACAGGGUAUUUUUUUUUCAUGUAAUUUAAAAUGUUACUGUGUGAGGCAAAAUUUCCAUUGACUUUGUUACUUAAUCACCCAGGAUUCUCCUAGGGGUUAACCCCUGGUGGUGGUAUGUCUACAAAGACUACACAGGGUAUGUAGAAAAUCCAGUGGCUGGCCCGUGCCGCCUGACUCAGGCCCACAGGGCUCAGGCUGCGAGGUUGUUUCAUUGUCAUGUAGACUUCUGGGCUCCGGCUGAAGCCCAAGGUCUGGGACCCUCUGAGAGCCCGGGCUCC